rnacentral:rRNA from 1 species
GACAGAGGGGGCAAGCGUUGCUCGGAAUCACUGGGCGUAAAGGGCGCGUAGGCGGGAUGGCAAGUCGGUCGUGAAAUCCUUCGGCUCAACCGAAGAACGUCGGCCGAUACUGCCGUUCUUGAGGGAUGCAGAGGAGAUUGGAAUUCCCGGUGUAGCGGUGAAAUGUGUAGAGAUCGGGAGGAACACCAGCGGCGAAGGCGGGUAGCUGGGCCAACACUGACGCUGAUGCGCGAAAGCUAGGGGAGCAAACGGG